ACGAAGUGUAGGGAUUCUAGCGAGCCAACCUCCCACCCGUGUUUACUGUACCUUAGUUGCUUCGGCGGGCCCGCCAUUCAUGGCCGCCGGGGGCUCUCAGCCCCGGGCCCGCGCCCGCCGGAGACACCACGAACUCUGUCUGAUCUAGUGAAGUCUGAGUUGAUUGUAUCGCAAUCAGUUAAAACUUUCAACAAUGGAUCUCUUGGUUCCGGCAUCGAUGAAGAACGCAGCGAAAUGCGAUAACUAGUGUGAAUUGCAGAAUUCCGUGAAUCAUCGAGUCUUUGAACGCACAUUGCGCCCCCUGGUAUUCCGGGGGGCAUGCCUGUCCGAGCGUCAUUGCUGCCCAUCAAGCACGGCUUGUGUGUUGGGUCGUCGUCCCCUCUCCGGGGGGGACGGGCCCCAAAGGCAGCGGCGGCACCGCGUCCGAUCCUCGAGCGUAUGGGGCUUUGUCACCCGCUCUGUAGGCCCGGCCGGCGCUUGCCGAACGCAAAUCAAUCUUUUUCCAGGUUGACCUCGGAUCAGGUAGGGAUACCCGCUGAACUUAAGCAUAUCAAUAAGCCGGAGGAAACUCCCCUCCU
rnacentral:misc_RNA from 1 species